UACGAGGGGGGCGAGCGUUGUUCGGAAUUAUUGGGCGUAAAGGGUGCGUAGGCGGUUUGGUAAGUCUUAUGUGAAAUCUACAGGCUCAACUUGUAGUCUGCAUGAGAAACUGCCGGGCUUGAGUAUGGGAGAGGUGAGUGGAAUUCCUGGUGUAGCGGUGAAAUGCGCAGAUAUCAGGAAGAACACCCGUGGCGAAAGCGGCUCUCUGGAACGGUACUGACGCUGAGACGCGAAAGCGUGGGGAGCGAACAGG
rnacentral:rRNA from 1 species